UGGGGAAUAUUGGACAAUGGGCGAAAGCCUGAUCCAGCCAUGCCGCGUGUGUGAAGAAGGUCUUCGGAUUGUAAAGCAUUUUAAGUUGGGAGGAAGGGCAGUAAGCGAAUACCUUGCUGUUUUGACGUUACCGACAGAAUAAGCACCGGCUAACUCUGUGCCAGCAGCCGCGGUAAUACAGAGGGUGCAAGCGUUAAUCGGAAUUACUGGGCGUAAAGCGCGCGUAGGUGGUUCGUUAAGUUGAAUGUGAAAGCCCCGGGCUCAACCUGGGAACUGCAUCCAAAACUGGCGAGCUAGAGUAGGGCAGAGGGUGGUGGAAUUUCCUGUGUAGCGGUGAAAUGCGUAGAUAUAGGAAGGAACACCAGUGGCGAAGGCGACCACCUGGGCUCAUACUGACACUGAGGUGCGAAAGCGUGGGGAGCAAACAGG
rnacentral:rRNA from 1 species